AUAGAAUUCAUACUUAAAUAUAAAUUAUUGACAUAACACACCAUUAUUGAUUUUUUAAAAUCAAUUUUCAGGAUCUGGCAAAGUUGGCUGUCCUUCUCCAACAACUAAGCCACAAAGAAGGGCCUUUAUCAACUCCUCCCGCCACUGAUGAUUCGUUGAUUUCAGUUUCAGAGGCCAGGAGAGUGAACACGUGGACAGCAUCUGGCCCAGACGGAUGCCUCUCUUCUGGGGAAGGUACGGUCAGUACAAAAGGGAUGGGUUACACCUGAACCCGAGGGGGGUAAAUAUCCUUGCAGACAGGGUUGCUAGAGCUGUUCAGGAGGAUUUAAACUAACUUGGCAAUAAUAGGCUUGAGGAUAAGGUGGUUGGAUUACAAACAGAGACAUUAUGUAGAGAGAGUGCUAGUAAAGAGAGGCUGACAAUAGGGCAAAAUUGCAGUCAGCAGGAUGAGUUACAACGUAAAAGGUGGACAAAAUUGAAAAGGGUGAGCAAUACAGGACUUAAGGUGUUAUGUUUGAAUGCAUGCAGUAUUCAGAAUAAGGUAAAUGAACUUGUAGCACAGUUACAGAUUGGCAUUGUGGGUAUCACUAGAUUUCUGACUGAAAGAAGAUUACAGCGGGGAGCUCAUUGUCCAAAGGUAUAUGUUGUAUCAAAUGGACAGGCAGGUAGGCAGAGGGGAUGGAGUGGCUCUGUUGGUAAAAAAAUGAAAUCGAAUCACUAGAAGGAGGUGACAUUGGAUCAGGUGUUGAAUUGUGGGCAGGGCUAAGGAAAUGCAAGGGUAAAAAGACUUGUUGGGAAUUAUAUACAGACCCCAAAACAGUAGUAAAGAUGUGGUGUACAAAUUACAACAUGAGAUAGAAAAUGCAUGCCAAAAAGACAAUGUUACAAUAGUCAUGGGAGAGUUUUAAUAUGCAGGUAGAUUGGGAAAAUCAGAUUGGUGCUGGAAUUUCCAGAAUGCCUAUGAGAUGACUUUUUAGAGCAGCUUGUGGUUGAGCCCACUAGGGUUUCAGCUAUUCUGGAUUGUGUAUUGUGUAAUGAACUGGAAUUCAUUAGAGCACUGAAGGUAAAGAAACCCUAAGGGGCAAAUGAUCAUAAUAUGAUUGAAUUCACCCUGCAAUUUGAGAAGGAGAAACCAAGGUCAGAUGUAUCAGUAUUACAGUGUAGUAAAGAGAACUACAGAGGCAUGAGAGAGGAGUUGGCCAAAACUGAUUGAAAAGAAACACCAGCAGGGAUGACCAGCUGUGGCUGGUACUUCUGGGAACAACUUGGAAGCACAGAAUGUAUACAUCCCAAAGAGGAAGAAGUAUUCUAAAGGCAGGAAUAUACAACCUUGGAUGACAAGAGAAGUCAAAGCCAACAUAAAAGCCAAGGAGAGGGCAUAUAAUAGAGCCAACAGUAGUGGGAGCUUUUACAGAAGCAUGCAGUGAGUUGAUCACUCCCUCCUUGGACCGGAAGCCAAAUAGUUUUGUUGCAGUAAGCGUGACAACCCCUCCGCAAGCUUUCUGGACAAAGCACGUACAAACUGAGAUAAUAGAGCAUGCAGUGAGUUGAUCACUCCCUCCUUGGACCGGAAGCCAAAUAGUUUUGUUGCAGUAAGCGUGACAACCCCUCCGCAAGCUUUCUGGACAAAGCACGUACAAACUGAGAUAAUAGAGGUUUUCUUCUUGCAUAGCAACACACGUGGCAUGCCGGAGGACUCAGCAUCUAUGGAGGGGAAUUAACAGUCAACGCCCUGGGCCAGGAUCCUUCUUCAGGACUGGAAAGGAAUGGGACUAAUGGCAAAUUAAGAAGA